rnacentral:lncRNA from 1 species
GUGGGUUGAGUUACAACUACAAGAUCCAGUGGAGUGCUUUAACAUGUUCAGAAUGAGGAGGUCAGUUUUCUUAAGCCUUCAUGACACUUUGGUUAUGAAGUAUGGAUUGAGAUCAAGUAGACAAUUUUGUAGCAAGGAAGCACUAGGAAUGUUUCUAUGGGCUUGUGGUGCACCUCAAUCUUUUAGGCAAUGCAAGAAUAAUUUCCAUCGCUCAUUAGAAACUGUGAGUAGAAAAUUUGAAAAGGUUCUUGAAUCUAUCAUGAGAUUAGCUGUUGACAUUGUGAGGCGUAAGGAUCCGCAAUUUUCUACUAUUCAUCCUAAACUACAAGAAGCAAGGUUUUGGCCUCAUUUCAAAGAUUGCAUAGGAGCAAUUGAUGGUACCCAUAUACCCGUAACUGUGCCAUUAGCUGAUCAACCGAAAUACAUUGGUCGGCAUGGGUAUCCUUCACAAAACGUCAUGGCGGUUUGUGACUUUGAUAUGCGGUUCACAUUUGCUGUCACUGGUUGGCCUGGUUCUGUCCAUGAUACUCGUGUAUUAUUGGACACACUUGUCACAUACAAGGAUCAAUUUCCACAUCCUCCUGAUGGUAAGGACGAGUUAUGUUGCAAUUUAUUUUUUAGGGAAUAUUUGCUCAUUGUGAUAUAACAUAUAAAUAUAACAUGCAGGUAAGUACUAUCUUGUUGACUCUGGAUAUCCUAAUAGAAAAGGAUUUCUUGCACCCUACAAGGGACAGAGGUAUCAUGUUUCCGAAUGGCAGCAUGGUCAGCAUCCGGUAGGAUUGAAAGAAGUGUUUAAUCAUGCACAUUCAUCCCUUAGAAAUGUGAUUGAGCGAUCAUUUGGAGUUCUAAAGAUGAAGUGGCGCAUUCUCUUGAAUUUGCCCAGUUAUCCGGUUAACAAGCAGUCGAAAAUUAUAGUUGCUUGUAUGGCCCUUCACAAUUUCAUCAGAGAUAGUGCCGUACAUGACGUGCAUUUUGAAGAGGAUUUUCAGGAAGAUGAUGGUAAUUCAACCCAACCUAGCACAAAUGGUGGGGUGGUGCUUUAGGAGAUGACAUUGAUAUGGGUGCAUUGCGUGAUGCUAUUGCUGUCGCUAUGGUUUCAUGAUUCGUUGUUGUACCCAUGAUGGAUGUUUCCAUACUAGACCGAUCUAUCGUAUGAAUUUCAUAUUAUUGUAAUGUAAUUUCAAUUUAACAAACUCCAAAGGCAUUAGAAUUAUUGUCUUCUCCUCAGAUUCACAAUAAAAAUGAGCUAUUAUCAGCCUUAGGGGCAUUCAGGUCAAUUUACCAACCAGGACAGACAAUCGACAUUAAAUAAUCAGGAUUGCCAAACACCCUGCUUAUUCAGACAGCAGCUUAUCCAGGCAGCAGGCUUACCAGAUAAGCUUGCUUCUCAGAUAAGCGAGUUCCAGAAAAGCGUAUACAAACAGGGCCAUUGUCUCGCUACUGCUCACGGACUCGAUUCCAAUUGAAGCAUGUUAGAAUCGAACCGUUUGGAAGGGUUCGCUCGAUUUUUUUUUCUUUCAGAAUUCACUCGGAAUCGUUAUCAAGCAAACAGACCUAUGCCACCGACCUUGGGAAAAAGAAAAUCGGCCCACGGCCGGCCCACCCGAAAUUCCGGCUGUUGGUGGACGUGCCUUGUCCGAUUCAAUGGUGCGAAGUUAACCGGGAGCUUCAUAUAAACUAAAAAAGAAAAGAAGAAAAGAAAAGAAAAGAAACCCUCGCCGCCGCACCCGUCCUUCCAGCGGCUGUUUCCCCAAAUCCGAGCUCCGGCGCCGUCGCUACUAUCGCCGUCCAACCGCACCUCCCCCGAAUCCUCCUCCUGCCGUCUUCACGCCAGUCGACCGCGUCUGCCGGGCCGAUCGAUCGAGUCCUAGGCAUGCUGCUCCCCCCCGUAGAAGAGGUAUCCGGAUCCAGGAGGACUCGGUCGAGCGCCAGGCGGCGGCGGCGGCGGCAGCGGCAGCAGCAGCAGCGAUCGGAGUGCCAGGAACCCGGGCCUACCCCUUCCGUGCGCCGCCGAGGCGUGCAAGAGCGAAAAAGGAAUAGGGCCGGUGGUAGCUGUGAUGAUGAGAAGGCCUGCAGAUUGAAGAUUAGGACGUGCGAGGACGCGGCGCUACCACCUGAUGCAGCAACUGCAAGGGCACAAGAAGAAGAAGCAAAGGAGGAGUUGGAGGCUGCCUCCUCUGCCCUCUGUGAACCACGCAUCUACCAGGAAGUUGUGUACAAGGAAGUUAUUGGGUAUGAUUCCAGUGCUGUGGAGGUCUAUUCAGAGACCUUUAGGAAGGAAGAAGAUCAAGCAAAUGAGGAGGAGGAUGCUGUUUCCUCUGCUCCCAGCUCCCCCCUCUGUGAGCCACGCAUCCUCCAGGAUGGGCAUGAUUCUAAUGGUGUGGGGAUCUGCAAGCCUAUCGACUUAGAGACCUUCAGGGCAUAUCGUCAGGCCAAGGCGAAAUUUGAAGAGAAAUUAGGUUUGCUACACAAGCCUCCUUAUUCUCUCUUCUUUUGAUUUGUGUUGAUGUUGCUUUACAAUGUUAUAUGUUGUUGUCUUCAAUGCCUGUUCUAUAUUCUUGUAGCUCGCAAAAUGAAACUGCCCACACUUGAUGACAGUAUAUCUAGCUGUCCUGUGGAUGUUGAGUUGCGUCAUGCUCAGCAAUCAGUUGCAAAGGCUGCCAGAAAUCUUGCCUUCGCGCUUUCAUCUUCAAUUGGUACACAAUAUUUAGUAUUAAGUUGCCUCUUUUACUUAGGUGCAUUAUAUGGCUUGUUGCAUGCUAAGUAUGCACAUGUAUAUCAGGUGGGAAGCCAUUAACUCAAUGCUCAGGCUUCUUCAUUGGCUGGGAUGAGAGCGAUGAGAGUCAUGAGACUGGUAUUAUAUUGACAUCGGCGCAUCUAAUUUGUUCACAACAACUCUCAUUGGAUAGCUGGUUGUGCAAAGAUGAAUAUGCACCUGAUGCAGAGGUUAGUUAUGAUAGAAGAAAUUACAACCUAAUUCAUUGGAAGUUAUCUAAUACUUAUUAGAAAAUUGAUGCAUGCAUGUUAUGUUACUGUAUACAUAUGUGUAUAUGUUGUUAUCCGUCUAUUUGAGGAGGAUUAGAGCAUAAGAAAUAUGUAGGAAAAGUGCAAGGCAGAGGGUUUAGGACCAGGUGGUGGUGGCUCAUGGUGUACAGCCAGUGGAGAGGUAGUAGGUGGCGGAAGGUCCUCUUCUUCCACAGUUAAGCCAUAAUGUAAUACCUUGUUUAUGUUGAUACUUGAUAAACCUAGCCUAGGACCUCCUAACCUCCACGAAACAGAACUAUGAACAGUCUAGACUGUCUUGAAGGAGGCAGAGACGUCCGGUGACUGGGGCAUGAUUUCCAGCAUGCUGCAGGUGAAUGUGGCGGAAACAACCAUGAACCAUGGCUGCUGUUGCAAUGGUUGGCCCACUGUAAUUUCUGAUUUUACAAAUAUUAGCCUGUUGUUUAAUUUGUAUAGAAGCCACAUGGUAGCUGGUGGAGUCUAUGUUAUUUGGUUGCUGCGAUGUUAACCCUUGUUUGCAGUUCACAUUAGUUGGUCACACUCAAAUUAUAUAUGUAGACUCUUUUUACAUGCAGAGUAGGAUGUCUUGCUACUAAAUUAAUGGGUUGUCUUGGACUUCUAUAGAAAGUGUGCAGAAUAUUUUCCCCCUAAAGAUCGUUACCCUAUGCUAUUUUCUUAAUGUGAUGUCUUACAUUCUAUAAUCAUUGUUCCAGGUCACAGUUCACUUUCCAGACAGGACCACUGCAAAAGGCAAAUUGUGCUACUACCAAAAGCACUACAAUAUUGCACUAUUCAGAACUAAAGUGAAGCCUUCUCUUCAGCUGCCCUUUUUCAAUGACAACGUGAACUGUGGUCAAGAGGUAUUCAUGCUUGGAAGGGAUGAGAAUUCAAUAUUAAAGAUUAACCAUGGUCAGGUGCAAUUUCAGAAUCCAUGCACUUUUGAGCGGCAUCACUUUAUGUACACUUAUGGUGCAGCCCUGGAGGUACAAAAUUGUUACUUUUCUUUUGUCUCGAAUUGUUUGUUUAUUUUUCUUUUUGUUUCAUCCUAGUUUUUGUUCUUAUAAAUUCAAGUCAUUCCUAUAUGAAUGUUCUAGUGUUGUAUUGGCGGGCCAAUUGUUGAUUUCAAUGGAGGGAUUGUUGGGAUGUCCACGCCUGAUACUGAAGGAUCAUUUAUACCUACUUCAAUUAUACUCAGAUGCUUUCAUCUGUGGAGAAAACAUGAGUAAGUUUUUCUUUUCUGUUCAUAGUAAAGUCAAAUUCACUCAUUAUUUUUGUCUCUUAGUGUUCAAAGAUGAAUUAUACAAUUUCUUUAUGUGAUGGAAACAUGGGAACUAGAAUGUACUUGUUGGGAUCUCAUUUUGCAUAUAAACUGCCUACAAUUCAUCAUAUUUUACAUUGAGGUUGUCAUUGGCAUCGUGACACUUCUAACAAUUUCUGCGAAAAUAUGGCAUUUCAAAUAACGUUAAUUAUAUUAUGAAAGUAUGUGUCAUUUAUCUAGUAACAUGAAUUUUACAUUGUCAAUCUACCUAGUUCUUUACAUAUUAAUAAUUGAUGGUCAACAUUUAAAGAAGUUUGAUCAGUAGGGAUCUUGAAACAAUAUAUAUUUUUAGGACACAGCUAAUGCACAGCCGUGUGUGGGUUUGAUUGUCAGCAUGCACAGCAAAAAAAAGCACUUGCAAAUCCUGUCCCUAGUUGAUUGUGCUCACUUCUGAGUCCAUCGUGACACUUCUAACAAUUUCUAUGAAAAUAUGGCAUUUCAAAUUAAGUUAAUUAAUUAUUAUAAACGUAUGAUGAAUUUAGUAUAUGAAUUUUACAUUGUCAAUCUACAUAGUUCCUUAUAUUUGAUCAGUAGGGAUCUUGAAACAAUAUAUAUAUAUAUAUAUAUUUAUAUAUAUAUAUAUAUAUAUAUAUAUAUAUAUAUAUAUAUAUAUAUAUAUAUAUAUGUAUGGGUUUGACUGUAUAUAUAUAUAUAUAAAUAUAUAUAGACACUGAUAUAUAUUUUUUUAUUCUUGUAUACAUGUUUUUUUAUUUGCUAUAUGCAGAAAAAGACGCAAAACCUGUACUACUAGUAAUUGAUUAUGCCACCUCUGAGUCACCGUUGACCACACCAAAUUUAACUAAAUUGUGUAUAUAGCAUAGGUAAAUAUCAGAAGCGUCCCAAAUUUGCUUUUCUUACAAACUGGAUAUGCGUAACAUUGCAUACUGUAUCCAAGAAAUUUGCUCCAGUUCAGAUCCAAUAUGCUUCCAGAUGAACAUUAUAAAUACAACAUAAGUGAAUAUUUAAUUAUGGCAUGCGCAGUUGUAUUCUGUGUAGCAUGGAUAAUUUGCUCAUAGCAGCAUUGCAUAUUUUCCUAUGAAACUCAAAAACAAAACAAUAAUGAAAAAAGGUUAUGGUAUCACUAUUGUCCUUUAAGAUGGUACCCUUGUCAACAAUUGCUUUGUCCCCCCACAUUCUACUUUUCUGUGCAGGUUCAUGACUUCACCUUUUUCACUGAAAUUUUGAUUCUCCUUUACACAGAAUCUAAACAUAUUUAGAAUUCUGUUGACCAUUUUCAUGGCCUCCAAAAAGAAUAAGCAAUAAGCAAUUAUAUUUUGCUUGCCCAGGUUUAGAGAAGUGCCUUGUAAUUCACUAGUUCUAUUCAUCCUCCCUUGUUGAGACGGGUUUCCAUGUAGUCUAAGUCCUGAUCUGCCCAUUUAAAAAAGCAAAGAAAUUAGCAAGUAGCUAUUGUUUCGAAAGUAGAAAAAUACGAUAUGAAAAUAAAUAAAGUGCAUAUUUUUCUCUUGGGCAGCACAGAAGUCAAACAAUGCAGAGAGGAAGAUAGUGAUAUUAAUAUUCAAAUUAAUUUGUCCUGUGGAGUCAUUGAAAUCUAAAGAUGAAACAAUUUUGAUAGUGACAAUAUAGAUGUGAUUGAACUCCGAUUUCAUUUCAGUAGGAAGCGAAAAUGUGUGAAUGAUCUAACUGCAUUUGUGAUAUUCAUCAUGACUGAUAAUUCAUGUGUUCCUAGCACAAAAUAGACUUACUCAUUGCAAUUCCAUGUGCGCACAAAAGAAAAUAACAAGUUAUAAAUCAGUGUAAAGUGCACCAUUUUACCAGUCGCGUUCACAAUUCUCAAUUGGAAGUAAUAAGAAGCUAGCAUGGACUUAUAGGUAAAAUUCAGGUCUUUAAUUCUUUAUGAAUUUAAGGAGCAACUCUGGCUUAAUAAAAAAGCAGAUUUGUAGUAACUUGAGUAAAUUUAUAUCAGUUUACGUGAAAUCCAUAUGAGCUCAGAAAAAAAGAAUGAUAAAACUAAUAAGAAAAAUUUAAAGAUUGCAAGUAGCAAAAUCUAUUUCAAUUUACAAGCAGAACUCAGAUGUAAAUCUGUUUCAAACUGCCACUGCAAGCUCAGAGAAAAUUUGUUUCAAUUUAAAAGGAAAUUAAAUUUAUACUUAUCAAAAACAGCAAUUUAUUUUUGACUAUUUAUGUCUGACUUUGAUUGUUGCAAUUCAUGAAAUAUUCAAAGGAGCCUUUUCUAUUUUUUUUAUCUCAUUUCUCAAAUUGCAAGUGACCAAAACUGCCCUACAGGGCACGGUAGCCUCCUCUUCUGUUCAUAACACUUGCAUAUAGUCCAUCUAAGUAGUAUUUUAAUACAUCUUGACAAAUUGGCAUCACAAGUAGACACAUGGACUAUUACUCUAGUUCAAGUUCCAUUUUAACAUUUUAACUAAUGUUGGUAUAGUGCCCUCUUCUUUGGACAAUUGUGUUCACACACAGGCUCAUGAUGUGCAAGCUGGCGCAUAUCUGGCACUUGUUUGUUUCUUUUCACCUGAUUCACAGCUUGUCUUCUUUCAUAUUCUCCUUGCUUUUGUUUUUAAGUUGGGUUGCAGCAACUAGAAAAACUCAAGUUUACUUGAGAGCUUGAGGCCAGUGUCAGUCAGUGGUGGAAUUGUACCACUUAUGCAACUUUGAAUCUCUCCAUAGAGUAAUAGGCAUGGAAAUAUGAUUCGGUGUCAAAUUUUCUGUGCUUACGAAAAGCUAGGGUGUCAUGGCCGCUGAGUCAAUAUGAUGGCAAGGCCUGCACCCAGUUUUUGAAGCCAUUUAUGCAAUAGAAGCAAUGAGCAAUUUGUUAAAGUGAACAUCACCGCUGCACUUAAUGAUGCUGAUCUCCAUGAUUGACCCAGAGACUGAAAAGGAGUUCAGCUCUCAAAUUGAACGAGGCCAAUAAAAUCCUGUGCAUAAUAUUUGCAAUACUGUGCUAUAAGACUUAUGUAUGGAUUCCAGUAAAAUACCGGUACUCUAUUCCAUAAGAGUCCUUCCAGCCCAUGCAAUGGCUUAGCUGAACUAGCGAACAAGAAUCUCUGUUAUAUUCCAAAACGUGGAUUCUUUUGGUGAUAUAAGUUUUAUGAGAACUCAAUCGGUCUUGGUCACAUUAAAAAUUAUUGAUCUGUUUGAUAAACAAUUGGAAUGUGGUCUAUUUGAAUUUUUUUAGCUUGACUCAAAUUUAACAGUUUGGCCAACUAUUUUGACCUAAUUUGAAAUGCAACCAAAAUGUUUCAUGUAAAAUGUCUAUAUGUUACUACACCUCUCUUGGAAAAAAAAAUAGCAAAUGAAUGUUUGGUAUAGGCGCAUUCCUCGACCCCACCUCCAGUUGAAGCUUUGCGCCAUCCAGUAUCUUGAUCCAGCUCAGAGUGAGAGGAUAUUACUCGAAUGUGGCAUUGAUGACGGUCUCAUUGUCCAAGAGGUAUAUAUUAUUUAGUUUUGUGUAAUCACUUUAUUUAUGUUGUUUUUAUGUGUGUUUUCAUAGGGUUGCUGAUUCUCAUGUAAAUUAUUGGUUAAUGGAUCAAUGGCUGAAAAGAAUGGAAUUAGAGUUGGGGAUGUUAUUGAAAGUCUGGAUGGAAACUGUAUUACUUCUCUGGUUGAGGUGUGCCACAGGUUCCAUAGGUUUUUAUAAAAUUGAGUAAAAAGAAAUUAUGUUCUUAUGACAUUAUGUUUUUUGUGCCUUUGCUUGUUAUCAGUUGGAAAUAAUGUUGCUGCACUUGUCUCAACAACACCUUGAUAGAAGAAAUAAUAAUGAUGAUUCUGAAAUUGAUGUUGAGGUAACUACUUUUAUGCUUUUUAGUUGGGUCAUUUGCUCAAUGUUUGUUUCUCACACCCUAAUAUAAUAUGUUCACUUUUCAGCUUGGCAUAUUUCGCACACGCAUACGCAAGCGAAGGACCAUAAAAAUGACACUGAAGUUAACAGAUGAGGGAGAAGAAGUUGUUAGAGGUCCUAUAUCUUUCCUUAAAUUUAAUAUCAUGCAAAUAUGUUAAUGGUGCCGAGGAGGAUAUAGAUAUACUAAUAUAAUUGUAAAUCUUUGCUGUACAAUCUCUUCUAAACAGACAUUUCUACUGUAGGUUAUUACACUAUUACUGCUCAUAAUGCAAUUUCUUCCUUGGUGCCACCUGAUAAAGUGGAUCAAGGCAAGUGAUAUUUUAUUGUGUUUGCAUACCAUAUUUGAUAUCAAUGUGGAUUAGCUGCGAUGGUUAAUGUCCUGCAAGUGUUUUGUGCAAUGAUGGUUCUUUAGGCAUGUUCCUGUUUUUUUAUCUCAUUUGGAAAGGUAGGUUUUCUUUCAUAUCCCUACUUCGUAUUUUGCCUUUAAUUAUUGCAAUUUUUUUUGGUCUAGGUUAUGUUGAUAUCGGUGCUUGUUCUGCUUAGGUAUGCCACUCACCCAAGCUGCUGCCUGCUAUAGGUAAUGGUCAUUUGUUUCUUUGCUAUCAUGAAUCGUAUGGGCUCUUAUAUGUGAGUGUGAGUGUUGGUUAUAUUUGGUUAUAUUUCUAUAUUUUAUGAUGACUGCACUGUGCAGCAUGCACUUUUCUUUAACGUUUCAUUUCCAUUGCCAUCACAGAUGAGGUAGUUAACAGAGGACUGUUAGCAUGUGGGUAAUAAGUAGGCACAUGGAAGUAACAUGUUUUCAUAUCAGUCUUCAAAUUUUCUGGACUAUGAUUAUGUCACGCUUAAUCAAUCGAAAAUGGAGCAUGAGUUAAUAUUUUAUAAUUCUUUCCAGGUUAAAAGUUCACAUGUUCUCUGAAAGUACUGGUUCUCUCCCGCUCUGGAAGCAUGGUUACUCAUCCUUGUGAAGCUAUGUAAAUAUAUGUAUGCAAUCCUCUAGUGAUUAACUUAUUACGCGAAUCAGGUCGACUCAUGCUGCUAUUUGUUAACUAAGUGAUGAAUUUCAACUGUAUUAUACCUGGACAAGAAAUUGUUGUGAAGAUGCAGUUUAUGCCCUGAAUCUUGGGGAUGUGUCAUGGGUGCUCCCCUUUGCAAGACUAAUUCCUGCAAUGUCGAUUUAAUAUACCAGUUGAGUUGUUUUUGACUGAUUUUUACUUUCCUAGAACGACAUAGAAGAGCUGUGUCAUUUUAUUAAGAGUACGUAAUAACCCUACACAUACAUACACACUAGAUCAGAACAUGACAGCAAACCAAGGAGGCAGCCUAAAAGGGUCUUGGAGGCCUGGAGCCCGUUCUGAACAACAAACUACCAAAGAAGAGCUGUCUUCUCUUCUGUUAACAACUGUUAACAACGCUGAAGAAAACACUGAGAGCAGCGUCGUUGAAACAUUAAACUAUCAAAGAGCAGUUUCUAAAUCACCCAAGCUAUCAAGACGAUCAGAGAAUUAAGGCCAUGUUGGUGCUGUUUGCCUACCAUCUGACUGCAUGGCUCCACGAAUGGGAGAAACUGACCAAACCAGAUCUGGAGUUAGAGGUUGCAGCCCAAUUUUCCACAGGACAGAACCAUAUUCCCUUGAACAACGACACAAUAAACCAUCAGAUGGUUCAUAGUUUUAGUUGCUUGAUCACAUAGCGGACAUGACACCAUAUUCCCUUGAACAACGACACAAUAAACCAUCAGAUGGUUCAUAGUUUUAGUUGCUUGAUCACGUAGCGGACAUGACGCCACGCAAAAGCCAAUGUUGCUGGUACUGUAAGUGCUAGGGCCUGGUUGCGGCCUGCCAGGCAGCUCGCUGCCUAGGCAGCACCAUCUAACUUAGGCCACCAAAAUCUAACGCCUGAGAUUGUUGCCUGGACCAGGCAGCUUUUUCAGAGUCCAAAUCAAACAAACUCUUAGGGUGGCAUACACUAGCGUGGAUGGCUAAACACUUGCAGGACUAAUGCCACGGGCAACAGCAUGCCACUAGUACCAUCUCCAUGCAUAGUUUCACUCGCUAUAGCCAAGAUUUAACAACGAGAUCGGCUGCUUGCUGUCUAUCCUUACUAGCUAAAAAGUGGUCAAUAUCAGCGAUAUAUGUUUCGAUUCAAACGAUAUGUUUCAAUUCAAACGGUAGAAUGUCAUUUAGAGUGGCAUACAAUUUUAUUUUCCACCGUCAAAUACAAAAAGGCACUACUAGGAGAAUGUCCAUGGAGUAGCAUAACUUGUGUUUGUGAAUAGCAAUGGACAAACUGUGUGUUUGAAACAAUCUCUUUACAAAGAGCUAGCUCAUUUCUCCCUCCUCUCUCGCCCAUGUACAUAAAGGGAAAAAAUAUGUAACGCCCCAAAAUUAGACUAACGUUCCACGUUCAAUUUAGAAAAUGCAUGGUUUAUGAUUACAAAUCUUAGUUGUUUGCAUGACUUUAGAAUGCCUAAUAGAGCAAGAUACGCUGUAUAUGUUGGAAAGCGUAAAAGGGUUCUAGUUUGAUUUGGAGUUUGAAUAAUUGAGACAAAAUGUUGACUUUUUGAACAUUAGCUCGGAUGGAUGAUCGGGGACUGUAGAUACAUAGAGCUUGUCAAAGGCAUUCCGUUUUAUCUCGUAUGCAUUACAUUCGGAGUUAAGAUCAUAGUGUUUUAGUAUAUCAAAGUUUGGAUGGAUGAGAUGGCUCAAAGAACAAAAAUAGAAAACAUAAUCUACUGUGACUUCCCCCACCUCUCUCCCACACUGCCCCCUAAUGCCCCCCUCUCCCUCUCCCUCGCAUUUCCUUCCUCUCACGAAUAGGAGAAAGACAUCCUCUCUCCUCUUCCUGCUGCCGCUCCAAGAUCAGGGAGAAAGUAGGGGAAAGAAAGGGGGGAAAAAUGAGAAAAUGGACUCAGGAGAACAUGAAGAUCAAGAAGAUGUGCACAUUCAAUAUUUUCCCCAUCUUUGGCUCGUUGCUCUUCAAGGGGAAACCUUAGGUGAGACCCCAAGGACGUCCCUCCCCCUCUUUUGGAUGAGAUUUAGGGCAUGCAAUUAGCCUUUUUGUUGGAUUAGUGGGAGGAUUAGACUUUGAUCUUGUAAUUAGUCUAUGCAGGAUGGCACUUUUGGCAAUUUCUAUUCAUCAUCAAAUUUGACAAUGGUACAACACGAAUUAAUUUUUCCACCUGUAGAAUUAAUUUUUUGCCACAUGGUUUAAGAAAUAUUGCAGUUUAAAGAUAGCUGACUUAUUCGGAUGAGUUUUUGAACAGUAACAGAUUUAUUCAGUUUUAAGGCACCUUAGAGGCCAAAUCAGUUAUUUAAAUGAAUACCAUAAUUUUAGAGUUUUUAUCAAGCUUUCCAUAUUGGUAUAGAGCAUAAUUUUCAGUUUGCUAGAAGUCUAGAUAUGAAAUUCUAAAGUGGAUUUUUAGCACUCGAGGCUUGUACAAUGAUUAGUUAAUCCUAGUUAUUUUUACUGCAAAUAGCUAUAUAAAUUUAUGGAGAAUAUAGUUGUGCAUUUUAUGGUAAAGUUUCAUAAUUUUUGGAUGAGUGGUUUAGUAGAUAUCAAGGUUUUACCAUUGACGGUCAGAAUCCAAGACAUAUUCUAUAGUCUGAAUUGAACUGAAGAUUAGGACAAUUUACUUUCUGCAUAAAAAUAGUUUGACUAGUGAAAGUCGUAGUCUUUUUUUUUAGUUUCUGAAAAUGUAUUCAUUUACUCUAAUUGCAUUAAUUUGUGAAUUAAAAGAUUAAAAAAAAGAAGCGUUGCUGCUUUUGUAGGAUGGUUGUGGCUUUGAUUAUUUGUACUUUCUUGCAUGUUUAACGGUUCCGACAUAGGAGUGAUAUGCCUAUUGUUUAUAUAUGUUUGCUUGAGUGCAUAUACGUACUUAGUUGAUGGUGCUAAACAGAUGGUAUUUCUCUGUAUCAUGUCUAGUCAUGUUGGCAUCAUUGCUUUGAGGCAAGUAAACAUAGAUACAGUGGUUUUGCUGCAGAAACCAUAAAGUUAACCUCAACUGGGUAGGUUGCUGGGUCUAAACACCGACAAUGAAUACACCAGUGGGUAGGGACGUGAGCUCGCCGCCGGCGAGCUCUCUGGCGACGGUGACUACACUGCCUUACUUACCUCGACUACGCGCACACACUGGGGGUGUUCCUAGGGUGGAUUGGCUAGCGAUGGUGGCGAAUGACGGAGCGCGGCGGUGCUAGGAUUCGUUGCGGCGCACGGCUCAACGAUGAUGACUCAAUGACCAUGAGCUAGAUCAGGAGCUUUGCCUUGAGCUAAAACACUCGGCGCUCUUCCAAACCAGAGCUCCCGUGGUCAGAGAAAGUAGCUCAACUACGGCAGCCAUGGCAGAGGCGUGCGCGGUGGCGCAAGAGCUCCGGCCAACCUGGUCGUGGUCCAGGCAACCAAGCAAGCGCUACACCAUCUACAGCUCACGCGUGACACACCCUAACACUCAGACAACGACCAAAACCCCAGCAGCAUAGAGCUCCAAGGCAAUGGCCUUACAAAAAAGAGAGGGGCUGGCGCACUUGAGGAAGACGGUGGCGGGAAGGUGUUGUGGUGGAAGGGGCUAGACGGUAACUGGUGGAACGGAUUCAGGACGUCAAGGCAACUGUGCUGGUGGAGGGAAACAGGCGGUGGUGGUUGGACGGCAGCGGAAAUCAUCGGCGAUAGAGGCGCGGUGAAAAAAACUGGGCGGCAGCGGUAAAACGGAUAACCACGGCGGGAGGGAGCGGUACUUAUACAAUUUUUUACCGCCUCCUCGUCGGUCACCUCCUUCUUGCGUGUCUGCUUCACCCCGCACGCAUCGCCGGCGCAUGGCACAGUGAAACCGCCCCUGACCAUCGGCGGCAAGCAGCUGCGUGGCAGCGCCUUUGCUUUGUUCUUCCCCCUUCGCUCCGAUUCCGCCCAAAGUACAAACCAAAUUUGCACCAAACUUUCAAUUCAAACUCUACAAUCUCCUUUAAUCAAACUUGUGGAAGAUCCAUGGAACUUCAUUCAAUAGAUUUGCAUAUUGGGCAAAGGAUCACUCUAUCCCUUGAAUCGAAGCCCCAAAAAUUUGCCCAAGCACUAUCUGUCAGUGUUCGAUUGAACACGCCAUUUAGUUUUGUCAGUUAAGUUUCGAAACAGCACAUUGUUUCAUCUUGGAGCUCCAAUUUAAAUAUCCAAACCAACUUUUCCUUAUCCAAGAGCUACUGUCAUUUGUUACCCACAGAUUCUACAUCCCAUUUUGCAUGUUAUUGUCCAACCUUCUUUUGUAGAAAUUUUCUAAAGUUUGAGCUAAAUUUGGCCAGUUAUCACUAUUUUCAGAGUUGAAAUGGCAAGUGACAUUCAGUUUGUCAGUAACACCAAGACAGGAAGAACUUUCCAUCUUUGAACUUCAAUUAAAUUAUGAAUCCCUUGAUUCCUUUGAUCAACAACUGAGCCAAGAUGCUCACAGGAUAUCCAAGUUCAUUUGUUGUCCAAAAAGAUCCAAAGUUUAUAUAUCAAAGCUCCCAGAAAUGAGGCUCAAAGUUGACUACUUGGCAAAAUUCUCAGACUUUGGAAAUUUUUUGGAUUUUGAACAGUAUCCCAAGUCAACCAAGUCAACAACUUUGUCUAUGUAUUUGAGAUACUUAUGACUUGAAUUUGAUUCCCAACUUGAUUCCACUGAGUUCCAAACACUUUCAACUUAUGAUUCCAUGUUGGAUUCAAAUUUUUCCAAAUUCGACUAUUUAUUUGAAUUUUUGGUCGAAUUUCAUCCAAAUUUGAACUUGACUCAUAAUACCUUAAUUUACUCCAAAUUUCAUUAUUAUCAUCUUGAUGAACUCUCUAAGUCCCAAAACCACUUGGUGUUACAUGGGGCGGGCGGACGGCGGGGCGGUGGCGCAUGGCCCGAUGUCGUUCGGGUACUGUCAGGCUCAUGCGCGGCGCCUUGCUGCGGCAGAGAGAAGCCAGCGGGUUGGGGCCGGGGCCGAGGAGGGUGCUAGGCCACGCGCGCAAAAUGCAGCAAUGGCAACGGAUCUAGAUGGACUGCGGUGUGUGGCAGCGCGCGAGGGGAGGCUAGGGGAGGACGUCGGGGGUGCUGAGGCGCGCAUAGGCAAGGGGCGAAGAAGAUGUCGAGCAGGACGACGCAGACGAGGCGGGCCGACGGCGGUGGCGACGACGGGACGACGGCCAGAAAUCGGAGGAGAUGAGGCGGGGGAGAAGGAGGCGGAGCUUAUAAACCCCCCUAGUCCCGAGUUGAAUUUGCAACUAGGACUAAAGGGUGCUUUUCGCGCGGGAGAUGAAAAAGCUUCCUUUAGUCGCAGUUGAUAUUACCAAUCGGGACUAAAGGCCCCCCUUUUCAUUUCCCGCUGGUUUUGUAGUUUUAAUUUAUUUAUGUUUUAAGUUAUUUUGUAUUGGUGUUGUUAAAGAAAACUAAAAACUUUACGUAUUUUGAACAUGCAAAAAUAUAUUAAAUUAGCAAGUAUAUUUAAAAUAAGUUUGAAUCGGCCAUUAAUUCUAUAUUAGUUGAUUAAUUUUCUAAAAUAAUUAUUUUAAUGCAUCACUAUCAUCAACAAACUCUUCAAUUAAAUAAUUUUAACACGCAAAAAUGCAAUUGAUGUAUGUGAUUAAGUUAACAUUGUUUAUAUUGAUCUAAUAAAGGUUCACAAUAAAGCAUUACAAUAUAAUUCAAAGAUUGAGCAUUACAUAAAGGUGCGUCAUAUUUAGUAACAUUAAAAAACUUCUUGUUGACCAAAGUUCUUUGUUCAUGAUCGCGACGUAAGCACAAAGUCUCUUGUUUGGCUAGCAUGAUGCUUGGGUCAACUUCAACAUCGAAUGAAGGCACGCCAUCAAACUGAUCAUAAUCAUCUGACUGGUUUGUUUUAUCCUCGACUCCCACAAUUUUUCUUUUACUUGGAAGAACUAUGUGGCGCUUUGGCUCCCAUGAUUUUUCUUUAUCUUCUGAAUUUUUCUUGGGUUUGCUACACAUGUACUUCACAUAGAAACUUGAUGCACAACAUUGGCAAGGACGAAUGCUUUAUCCUUGUAUCCAGUCUUGAUCUAGUCCAUUAUUGUCAUUCCAUACUAAUCUUUUGUUACGCUACCUCCAGCUAGCUUCACCCAUUGACAAUAAAACAAAAAUCGACGAUGGUCCAUAUACACGACCUUCCUGUGUAGUGUUUCAAAUUCAUGCUGUGUGUAUUGUCUAAACAAUGGGUGUAGGCCUGAUAUCCCUUCUUUGUCUAUCCUAAAAUGUUACUCAAGGCAGGCCAAUCAUUGAUGGAUAUGAACAACUAUGCUCAUAGGUCAAAGCUCUCUUGUUUAUCCCCAUGCCACACAUGUACAGUUUCUUCCUUCCAGAGCAGUAAAAGUUCAUCAACCAAUAGUCUUAGGUACGUACAGUUUCUUCCUUCCAGAGCAGUAAAAGUUCAUCAACCAAUAGUCUUAGGUACACAUCAAUGUCGUUGUCGGGUUGUUUUAGACCUUGGAUAAGCAUCAGCAUCAUAAUGAACUUCUGCUUCAUGCACAACCAAGAAGGAAGGUUGAACAUUAAUAGGGUCACAAGUCAAGUACUAUGAGCACUACUCAACUCACCGAAUGGAUUGAGUCCAUCAGUAUUUACACCAAACCUUAUGUUCCUUGCAUCACUUUCAAAGUCCGGGAAUACUCUAUCAAUUGAUCUUCACUGGCCCCAUUCGCGGCAUGUCUAAGCAUCUCAUCUUAUUUACGUUCUUUUUUGUGCCAUCGCAUCAACUUAGCAUUCACCUUAUUUCUGAACAAAUGAUUCAAACAUGGCAUUAUAGGGAAAUAUCACGUCACCUUUGGGGGAACUCUCUUCUUGGGAGGCUGCCCCUUAACAUCACCAGGAUCAUCUCGCUUGAUCUUAUACUGCAGCGCUUCGCACACAGGACAAGCAUCCAAUUUCUUGUAUUCAUCACCACAAUAGAGGAUACAGUCAUUAGGGUAUGCGUGUAUCUUUUGAACCCUCCAAUCCUAGAGGGCAAACAACCUGUUUAGCUUCAUAUGUUGUCGACAACAAUUCAUUAUUCUCGGGAAGCGUGUUCUUUACAAUUUUCAAUAUCUCCUAAAAUAUCUUUUUAGACAUGCCAUUUUUGCCUUUCAUUGCAGCGUGUGGUACCUAGUUUUUUAUGCCCCUGCUUGCAAUCUGGGUAUAACAAUUUUUUGUGAUCAUCUAUCAUAUGCAACAAAUUUUUUGUGGUAUCAAGUUUUUAUACCCAGUUUCGCAGUCUUUCUAUGCAUCCCGUAGCACCUGACCAAGAUCAUCAAUAGGGUCAUCUUCUGCAAACUCUUCGUCAUCAGCCUGACCCAUUGUAGUAUCUACAAAAGUUUGGUCUACAGCCCAGUCCGGAAUGUUGUUAUCAUCCUACUCUUCUUCGUCGUCUUCCAUUAUACCCCCUCUUUUGUCAUGCUUGGUCCAAACUAAAUAGUUAGGUAUGAAACCAUAUCUAAACAAGUAGCUGUGAAGAGUCCCCUAGGAACAGUGGAAGACAGAAGCCGAAGGCCAACAAGCCGAUGACACCAAGAUCGGAUAGCUGAUGAAAAAUACCCAAGAAAUAUUCCUCCGAGCAAUAAACUGAGAUUUGAUUAUUUUAGUUCCCCCGUUGCAUCGCUAUCACCAUCAAGCGGCUGAUUAUUAAUUCCAACAAUAUCAGACAAACAUAUUUGUUUCCCAUUGUAUAUAUUUUCUCUAGGAAGCCGACGAAAAAUCCCAGCGAAGAGCAAGAGCGGCCAACAGCUCCACAAUAAAUACUACGCAAUCGGCCCUGCUUAUUCUCUGCCUCUUCCGUUGAUCACAAGACCAUCUUAAAAGAACGCGUAACUAAUCAAGAUGCCCCAUCGCCUGCAAUAUUUACUUUCAUCGGCUGUCCAUCAUUAGUGGGAUUGUUAGCAGGAUGGAUGCCGCCUCUCUCUGAUCGCCUGCUAGUAUAUUACUAUAUAUCAGCUCUGUCGGUUCUUGAUAAGGGCUAACAAUAGUCGUAUAUUCCGCAGCCGAUACACUGAAAAGCCAUCGUAUUCGCUCGGCAAUGGCAACUGAGAUUGAACUGCUCCUGCCGACGCAUAUUCUCGAAACCAUUGACAACUUGCUCAACCUGUAUCUUCUUCUUAUCAGAAAGUUUGUCGAUGGUCAUUGAAAUCUCCAGACUCAGGUCUGCUUCCUUAGACAUUGUAGAGAAUUUUUUGGUGUGUCCCAACGUAGAGCCGGCUGAUAUAUCUUUCCUAGAGGCGACGGAUGCACAGCUAUUUUCUCAACCCAAUCAUUACUUCGAUAAGUUCCUUUUUGAGUGGUUGGCUUGAUAGGUGCACAUGGAAUCCCUCCGAAAUCUGGGACACCAUGAUAACCAGGAGGCCAGGAGGCAUCCUUGAAGAAUAAUAUAAUUUAAUGGGAGCUACUUGAUUUGACGAUCUGUAUUCGUCAUUGGAAAUAGUUUCCUGAAUCUCGCACUGUUCGUCCUGAGAAAGCUUAUCUGGGAUCACCGGCUUAAAAACUCCCUUAAAAUUAUUCCAAAAUUUUAUUUAGCAGAAAAACAAAAAAAAUUACCUCCAACAGCUCCCCCAUCCUUCCCGUAAAAAUACGCGGAUGCUAAAAACACCUCCGUCAUCUUGUAUAUGAAGACCUAAAACACCUCCGUCAUCCUGUAUAUGAAGAUCUGGAAGAUCUACUUAACUCCAGUGCAGGCUCUAGAUCGACUCCCGUAGGUGCGCGGCGUACCGGUCAAUUUGACUUGCAAUUGAUAGAGGAAACGUAAAAUUCAUGAGCCGAUAAGCGGCGGAGCCUUUGAGCUCAUAGGUAGGCAUUUUUUGAAUAAACACAGUUAAGAUAUGUUCAAUAUAAUCAUGGAGCGUAAAUAAAUAGAAGCAUUAAUGGCAUGUGCCUUCGGCUAUAUGAGCCGAUAGGCUAAGAAAAAUCAUUAUAACACAACAGCCAUAAAAAGGGAGCUCUUGUUAACCACGCGCUUAUCAGAUAAGUUGACAGAUCUAGCCAAUGUCCUUAUAAAUGUAUUGAACUCAGAUAAGAUAACAUCAAUGUGAGGGCAUUGGCAUCAAUCUACUAACUUAAAAGAUUAGAACAUAGCAACAAGGAUCAGCUGAUGCUAACUUUACGCAAAUCCGAUAUAUUAAUAGAUCUUAAUUAAUGUCUUGAUGAGUCUAUUGAAUUUAGACAAGGCAACACGAAUGAGAGGGCAUUAAUCUCGAUAUGACAAUAUAAAAGACUAGAGCACAAUCACCAAAGACCUCUUGCCUACCGCUUGCAAACGGAUUAAGGUAACAAAAUCUAAUCAAUGUCAUGACCGUGCAAUUAAACUUAGACAAGGUAACACGGUGAGAGGGCAUUAACUUCGACCCAUUAAUUUUAACAGACAAGCUCGUGGCAGCAAGGCUUCGUACACAUCUCUAUUGGCUCAAUGACGUUAUCAUGCUUCUGUGAGAUACAGAUAAGAUCGGUCUGAAACAUCGGCUCUCAACAGUGACGUGUUGACGUUAAGGGCCAGACGGUUAGAAAUACGAGGGGUAGGGGUAAACAUCUAUCCGUUCUAGCGUAUGUAAAACAAGAAAGACACACAAGCUGUGAACAUUUAGACAAGGCAAGGGAGUUAAUGAAGACAACCUAACCAGAUCUAAGUCGUUCAAUAACUAGGAGCAACGUCAAAGACAAGCAGAAUACUGGACAAAGCCUAAAAAGUUCUACUUGCAAUCUAAGUUAACUUGAUAAUUAGCCACAUGAUCGAAUAUUAGAAUAUUGUAAUGACCGAGUGAGAAUAUUAGAAUAUUGUAAUGACCGAGUGACGGUACUUACAGGCUCGCCUGAGAUCGAAACUGAUGCAGCCCUGCGCGCAAGAAGAAACUCGUUGGGAAACUACAUUACUCCUACUCCUAAGGGUUGGUGACGUGGCGCUGAAAAAUUAUAUUAAUUGAUCGAGAGAUAACCUUACAAUUGGCCGCGUGAUCUUACACCAAAACAGUUCGGACUCUACCUAGGUACAAAUCAAAUAAACUUCCUAAACAUACACUCCUUAAUUAACAAGCAAAUCUAAUUAUAGAUACGGAACAAUUGGCCAUGUACUUCUACUUGCGUCUCUAGGAAACUUGUCGUGCAUCCAUCCUUUCCUUAAUUACUCUUGUAUGCAUGUACUGGCCCUCCGUUCUAGACUUCUAGUACCAAGGCCGGUCACCCCAGGAGGUCGCCAUCAUCCUCGGCAGCUUGUGGCAUCCCGGGAGCUUCGUAGUAUCGGCCGUUGACGGGAGCGCCAUCUUGCCGUCCUCGGCAAUAUCAUGGGCCUGUUUAGUUCCCUCCAAAAUCCUAACUUUAGUACUAAUUAAAAAGAAGAUUCUCCAUCACAUCAAACUUGCGAUACAUGCAUUAAGUACUAAAUGUAGACGAAAUCAAAAACUAAUUGUACAGUUUUGUUGUACUUUGCGAGAUGAAUCUUUUGAGCCUAAUUAGUUAAUGUUUGGACAAUAAUUCACAAAUACAAACGAAAUGCUACAGUUACGUAUUUAUGGUAAAAUUCCAACUUUACCACUCUCAAAUUGAAAAGUAAACAAGAUCAUGGUGUCGCCCUUGCCACCGGUCCCGAGGACGACCUCAACGUGCCCGCACAGAUCUUCGUCUUCCUCUUUUGUAGGAUUUUAUCGGCCAUAAUCCUGUGGCAACACCAGUUGCCCCUCGCUCCCAGUCAAAGGAAUAAAUGAUCUGACAAAUGGGAUUCGUAUUGAUUUUACACAAUGAUCCCAGUUGUUACCGGGCAAGAUUCCGAGGGUAACGAUAAAGUGGAAUAUCCUCUUGCUUGUCAGAUUGAGGAUUUGACUUAGAAUUCACUCCUGUCUUAAGGAAGCGUAGUAGCAGCUCACCGGAACAUCGGCCUACUAUACUGGGAGCCAAGUUGUUUCAAGUCGAGACGCUGUCGAGGAAUUUUUGGCCACUGGAAUCUGUCCCACGCGCCAUGGUUCGGAAUCGAAAGGCUUUUACAAGAAAAAGGUUCCAAACUUAGAUCUUGAAGUUAGAUUUCCUAAAUUUGGUGUUAAGAAACCAGAAGGUUAUACCGAUGAACAAUUUCUCACUGAGAUAGAGAGGCAUUCCGUUUCUAUGAUUGGCAACUAUUUGCAAAGGGAACGUGACAACGCCAUGGUGGUUCUACAGGAUGGAGGGUGAAUCAACUGAGUUUUUGAUGAAAUGUGUUUCAUAUGGUCUUCGCGCUCGCCCUGGAGGCCCUGCCAAGAAAAUGCCAAACCACCGCCCCCCCCCCCCCCCCGAACAUUGGCUCUAACGUUCCUGAGACUAGGGGUGUUUCGAUACUACCUGCUAAAUUUUAGCAGUGUCAUAUCAGAUGUUCGGAUGCUAAUUAGGAGGACUAAAUAUGAGCUAAUUAUAAAACUAAUUGCAAAACUCCUGUGCUAAUUUGCGAGACGAAUCUAUUAAGGGAGCGUUUGGUUCCCUUUGCUUAUUUUUAGCACGUGUCACAUCGAAUCUUUAAAUACUAAUUAGAAGUAUUAAACGUAGACUAUUUACAAAACUCAUUACAUAAGUGGAGGCUAAAUGACGAGAUGAAUCUAUUAAACCUAAUUAACCCAUCAUUAGUAAAUAUUUACUGUAGCAACACAUUGUCAAAUCAUGGACUAAUUAGGCAUAAUAGAUUCGUCUCGCCGUUUAGCCUCCACUUAUAUAAUGGAUUUUAUAAAUAGUCUACGUUUAAUACUCCUAAUUAGUAUCUAAACAUUCGAUGUGACGGGUGCUAAAAAUAAGCAACCGGAACCAAACCAGGCCUAAGCCUAAUUAAUCCAUCAUUAGCAAAUGGUUACUGUGGCACCACAUUGUCAAAUCAUGGACUAAUUAGACUUAAUAGAUUUGUCUCGCGAAUUAGACUUCAUCUGUGCAAUUAGUUUUAUAAUUAGUCUAUAUUUAAUACUCCUAAUUAGCAUCUAAAUAUCCGAUGUGACAGGUGCUAAGCUUUAGCAUGGGUAUCAAACACCCCCUAAAUAAAAAGAAGAAGAAAACAUCCAAAAAGCAGUUAUCAGAUAUUGCUGGUUCGUUAGGGGUUUCGAAAUUGACGAAGAUUCCUACUGCUUUAAAGAAGCACAAAAGAGAUGCUGAAUACGUCGUGUCUGCCACACAUCUUAAGAUUACUCCAAUCAUUCCACAUUCUGGUAAGGUGUUGGUAUAUUUAAUGAAUAUGAAUAAAUCCGCAAGUGCAUGGUUGUAGUUUUCACCUCAGAGUAUUUUAAGGGUAUCGAAUCCAAAAGAACGUGUGCGUACUAACUUCUAGUUUAAUCGGUCCAAGGACAUAGCGAGAUAGGUGGCGUGGGUAGAGAGGGUUCCUAAAGAUAGCUAUAUAGGUGGGUUACCAAGGACACAGUUAAUCUCUCGAAUCAAAUACUUGCUUUCGGCACCAGCCUACCAAGAAUGAGUACAAGAAAUGUGUUGAUCUAUUAUGAAAAUUUUAUGACAUAUUUGUUUUCGUCAUAGAUCUUUGACGUUUCUGGCUGAAAACGUCAUAAAGUUUCACAUCUAAGCAAAUUUAGUGACAAAGUUACGGAACGCCGUAAAAGUUACUACUGUAGCCAAAAAGAAAUCAUUACUUGCAGUUACAUGGUGGUUUUGUGAUGAUAUAAGCUCCGCGAAAACAUCAUAAACCAACAAGGAUCCCACAUAUAAGUUUGAGCUGAUAAAUAGGGUGGUAAAAUAAAAUGGAAAACGUACUUCUCCCGUGAUUCGAACCUGUUACCGAUUGAAUGGAAAGUCUUUACCACGACUGGGUCCAACAUGUAAGGUAAGUUUCAGAUGAGUGUGGUAGUUCAUGGCAGAAAGUCUAUGCUACAGCCAAAAAAUAGUUUACCCGCUGCUGCACUCCCGCAAUAGGAAAAAAAAACAGAGAGAAGGCGGCCCGAACGGAGCACUCCGGCGGAGAUCUGCGCCUCCCGACAGCGGCUCAGUCCUACGACAUCACAAAUCUAGUGCUUCCUACUGCAACGUGUCAAUUUGGUCAAUAAUUUUGAGUUGAAUUCGACGAAAUUUCAUUUCGUAUUGAGGUCUUUCAAUCUUGUCAGUAAUUUUGAGUUGAAUUCGCCAAAAUUUCCUAGAUGGAUAGAUGUUGGAUACCCAAUUGUCAACUAUUUACCCCAGAAAGGGGUUGAUGAUUUCACAAAAUUUGUUAAGAGUAGAUACUUUGAUGAUGAACAAAUACUAUGCCUGUGUCGUGGAUACCUGAAUCAAUCUAGAUGUACUGUAGAAGUGGUGCACUUGCACUUACUUAUGAGUGGGAUGGCAAGCACCUACACUAGAUGGAUUCAUCAUGGAGAAAAAUUCGAGCAUAGGGUUCAUAAAAAUACAAAUAUGCAGGAUAAUGAGGUUCAGAAAAAUACAAUUCUGCAGGAUGAUAGGGUUGAGGAAAUUGUAAUACUGUCAGAUGAGGGGGUUCUGGAUAAUGCAAUUCUGUAGGAAGAUGGUGAUCAGGAAAUGGUUUAGGAAAAUGAACAAAUUCAGGUAUGGAGGAGGAUGAAGGCACUGAAGAUGGACUUCCUGAAAUAAUAGCUGGCAUGUGCCAUGCUAAAGAGCUGGAAAGGAAAAUGUUAGAAUAUAAAGAAACAUAUAAACCGUAAGGUGUCACAGGGAUCUAAAUAUACAGAAUUUACAUUUGUUGUGAAGUUACUUCAUAUCAAGUCUUUCUAUUGGAUCAGCAAUGUCGCAUUCAAUGUGAUUCUGAAGGUGUUAUCCCUUGCUUUCCUAGGAGGAUGUGUUCCGACAUCUUAUGAUGACACAAUGAAGUACAUACGUGCCAUAGGACUCGGCUAUGAAUCUAUCAGAUUUUGUAAGAAUAAUUGUGUAUUGUUUCUCAAGACGCUAACGAGACAUGAUGUGUGCCUAGUGUGUUUUGAAGCGGAUUCAAGAUGGAAAGAUGCAGACAAUAAGAAGUGCAAUCCUCAUAAGGUAUUGAGGCAUUUUCCACUGGUUCAAGGCUGAAGAUGACGUUUCUUUCAUAAAAAAUAACAAAGGAUGCACAAUAUUAUAAGUUGUAGCUUAGCCAUCCAGCUGAUAGUAAGGCAUGGAAAGAUUUCGAUAACAGUUGGUAGGAAUUUGCAAAAUAUGCUAGGAACAUUAGACUUGACCUUGCAACCGAUGGUUUCAAUCCAUUUGGCAACAUGACCAACUAGUCUCUAAUUAAUUAGCCAAGACCAUAGCAAUGAUGGUCCUUGUGGUUGUACUAUUUUCCCGAGUGGUUCUCCAUGUUCCAUUUAACAUUAUCAUGUUAUUGUGAAUAAAGCAUAGGUAGAAGGAUGGUUAGGGACACUUGCCUUUCUCCAACGCAAAGUUACUCUUAUUGCUCUUCAAAUCUUGCUUUCUUGAAACUUUAAAUCUUCAAAGCUUCGAACGGCGAUCCUUCUACUCGAAGCAAACAUCGGCCCUAGCAAGUAAACAAGUACAACUAAGAACAAUACAAGAAAAUAAUAGAAAGGCUUCAAAAGAGCGUACUAAAGGACAAGGCUCGAUCUAACGUCACGUAAACGCAAGAAACGCUUAAAAUGGCCCUAAGGUUGAUAAAGCAAAUCUAUCGAGAGGUUUGAUUUAUAAAAGAAAUAAAAAGGCUAUAUGCUUGAUCCUUUUUAAUUAAAUAAAACAUGCACAUAGGUUAUUUCAGAGAAAUACCCUAUUUGGAAUUAAUCGAGUUCUAGUCAAAUGUUAUUUAUAAAUAUUUAAGUAUAAUUUAUGCAAAUUAAGCAUUUAAUUUUAUAAGAAAAUUGUAAAAGCAUCUAAGCGCAUAAUUUAUAUUUCGAGUUUAACUAAGCAAAUUAUAUUAAAACACGUAUUUAUAUUUAUAUUAGCCAAAUUAACUUUUAAUUAUGAAAAAAAUUGAGAUAUAACCUAUGUAGCUUUUAUUUAGAAAGCAAAUUGAAUAAAUAUUAAUCAAAUUAAAUUUGAUUUGAGAAAAACCGAGGUUUAACUCUAAAUGGCUUUUAAUUGGAAGAAUUAUUUAAAUAAGUGUUAAUAAAUUUAUCUUUGGUUUAUGAAAAACCGGUGUAUAACCUAAUUGGAUUUUAUUUAGCAAAGGAUAUGAAGUAGGUAUUAAUCAUAUUGAUCUUUAUUAUGAAAAAUGGUGUAUGACCCUUGGUAACUUUUAUUUAGAGAAACGCAUGUUCAUUAGGCAUUAAUCAAAUUAAUACUAAAUUUAUUUUUAAAGACAUGAAAUGGAGGAUGAUAUCACUACUAACGUGUACUUUAAGCUGUUAUGAAUGCAACGCAUCUUAAACAGAUUAAAACGGAGCUAAGACGUGGAAUGUAUGGACUAAACAAGGUUCUAAGGACCUAAACAAGAUUAACCGUAGAUCUUAGGGUGUGGCGGAACCGCCCUAAUUAACUUAGCUAAAGCACAAUUAAGUCGCCUGACAUGCGCUCUUAUGCUUUAAUCAAGUUAACUCGGCAGUCCGUCAGAUUUCAUCUGAUAAAACCACUAAUCAGGACCGAGAAAAGCAGAGUUCACACGAAGGUGAGUGGUUCCAGAGAGUACAACAAAUCAUCCAACUUAAACAAGUACAUCAAUUUAUUACAACACUGGUUCGAAAAUUAAAGUUUUACAGAGUUCAUAAGCAACGGAAAAGAUAAACCAGCGGAAGCUAGCACCGGCGUCGGAUGUCACGGAUAAGGCCGAUCCUGACAUCACUGGUCCCUAUCCUCGGCAUCUGAGGAGGGAUCCCACUCAACCAUCAACCCAGGCGGGAGCUGGGGAGGCCAAGUGCCAACAGCGGCAAACUCAGAAGUUUCAACACCACCUGAAAGAUGUGCCACAAGCAAGGCUGAGCAACUAUGCUCAACAAGACUUAACCGACCGGUGGGAACUCCUCCACCAACUUCUAGACAUGCAAGGCUUUUUGGCUGAGGGGUUUGCUUUGCGAAAAGCAAUUAUAGUAGGUCCUUACUUUCAAUAUUUUAGCUUCCAGUUCUACGUUCAUUUACCAAACUAAGUUAGCAGCUAUACUAAACAAGCAAAAGUUCCCAAGCAAUUUAUGACAAGCAACAUAUUACCUCAUCAUCAAGUUUCAUUCUUACUUAGUGUAGCAUAGCGAUGAAGCAGUCCCAAACUGUGAGAGGCAGAAAAAUCGAUUCAAAUUUCUUAACCAUGCAUGGUGAACCUAAUCUCACGACAUCCACGCACCACGAAGGUUGCCUCCUUUGUCGGCCGUCCCCAUCAAUUCCCAGGCACGCGUCAGGUCCAAACUUCCUGCAAUGCUCCACAGUCUCGACCUCUUGCCGUACUGUGACCGCACUUGCACCCACAUGAUGCACCAUGGGAACCUCGUUCUAGGGACAGCAGGGGUAUAAGCCACGCCCUAGUUCAAUCAGGUACUAGGCUUCCCCAUCCCAUACUAGGUAUGAGAUUAGGGCCCUGUUUGUAUCCUCUUAUUUCCCACUUAUUGGUGGAAAUAAGCAAUAAACCCACCCAAACGCCUUGCUUAUUUCCCGCUUGUCACGUAAGCCGCUUAGUUGAAAAUCUGGAAUAGAACUAGCACCCAGCUUAUCUCGUACGCGGGUCUGGAGAUGCUUCUGGGGCAAGCGGACCAUUUUUCCCCCAGGUACCCUCGGGCAACGACGCCUCCAGGCGUCCACCCCCGCGCUUCCCGCAACCGCUGCCGCCGCUCGGGUCGCCCGGCCCGCCUCCCUACCUUCGCCGGGCUUGGCUCCCACCGCGCCUCCCGCAACCGCCGUCGCUCCUGCAGAUCCCGCCGCCGCCUCUCCUGCAGAUCCCGGCGCCGCCCCCCUGCAGAUCCCGCCGCCGCCGCUCGGGUCGGCCCUUCCGCCUCCCUACCUCCGCCGGCCGCCCCUGCCAGGCCCCCGCCGCGGGCCGCCCCUGCCGCCGGUGCUCCGCCCCCGCCGCGGGCCGCCUGGGCGCCGCCCCCGCUGCCGGACACCCCUGCCGCGGGCCGCCUGGGCGCCGCCCCUGCCGCCGGACGCCCCUGCCGCUUGGGCGCCGCUUUCGCCGCGGGACGCCCCUGUCCCCUGGGAUCCAGCCCCGCCGCCGAACGCCCCUGCCGCCUGGGCGCCGCCCCGCCGCCGGACGCCCCUGCCGCCGGGGCGUCACCCCCGCCGCCGGACGCCCCCGCCGUCUCUCCUGGAACCUUGUGCUCAUCAGACGUUGAUAGAAAGCUUAAGGUUAGCAACAAAGACUAUCUAUUACCAAAUUGCAGCUUGAAGCCUUUGUGUAUUACUUUUCCCACAUAGCAAAAUUCAGAAGUUGGGCGCUGUUUCCUUUCUGAACAAUGAAAGGUGGAGCAGCUAACUAAAGUUUUUGAAAAAUAAGAAAGGUUUCCAUUACCACAAGGAGUUGUGCAAUUUAAAAAAAUCUUUUGAAUAAUGAAAGGUGAAGCGAUGGAGUUAAUACUGAAUACUAAACAAGUUAAGAAUAACAUAAGGGUGCAAAAAAAUAGAAGUUAUUACACAGUAUGAUACAAUAAUGAAAACAUACCCCCAAUGUAGCUUCCUUUUGUCCCUUGAUAGGGGUUGUGCAGGAUCCUGUACAUAUAUGGUGAUAAAACCAUCACGGUUAUUGCAUGAAGUCACAACUGUGGGGUAUAAUUAAAGUAAGAUGAGGACUCCUAACGAUAUCUAAAUUGUAGUCAAUUAAAUAUGGAGUAUCAUAGAGGGUGCAAAGUUGACUCUGUUAACCACCUAAUGGCAACCAAGUAUGCUCAAUGGCAUAUCAAAGUUAGAGUACUUGCAAUUUGCCAAACCUGUCCAUUAAUUCAAUUAACUACAUUUCUUUUUCACGACUUAUGCGUAACCUUUCUACUUGGUAGUUUAAAUGAAGUCAUUAAUUCUUUUUUCAUUUUGCAUUGGAGUCUCUUUGGAGCUGUAUGAUGAUGGAGUAGCUCAUAACAAUUUUAUGCAUGUGUGCAGUUGCUGCGGAGGAUCUGGACAGCUGUAGCUGUUACGACUGCAAGGCUGCCAAUAAAUAGCAAGGUAAAAUUUGUGUCACUUCUUGAUGGAUUGCUAAAAUGACAGAUUGUGGGUUGUAUGGUCAGUGAACAAGCUCGUAGAUUUGUAUUUAAUUCUACAAUACUGUAAUCAAAUUUUAGAUGGAAAAGUCAUCAAAGAUUGUGGCAAAAUGGGAUUCAUUUGCCGUGAAAGCUUUCAAUGACAUUUGUGUGGAAGAAGUACUUGCUUUCAAUCAGCCGCAGCAAUGUUUGAAUGCGGUAGGAUAUGCAAACCUUCUUAGAAAGUUUUAUGAGCGUACCAAGAGACCAUACAGUGAGAGUCAAAUGAAGAAUAGGUGGGAUAUAUUGAAAAAGAUGUAUACCUAAUGGAAGACUUUGAACUUGAGAUCAACCGGAUUGGGAAGAGAUCCUGUUACUGGUUGUAUUGUGGCUGACGAUGAAUGGUGGGAAGAACAAAAUAUGGUGAGCCUACUAACAAUCAUACUAGAGAUAUAGUUCACAUACACGUUGUUUGUUUGUUUUGAAUUGGAGUAUAAUAGCAUGCUAUUUUGGUAAUAUUUUACAGGCUAUGCCAGGUUGUAUCCGGUUCAGAACAACUCCGCUUGAAUAUGAGGAUCAGAUGCGAAUCAUGUUUGAAUCAGUCAUUGUUACAAAUGAAACUUCAUAUGUUCCAAGUGGUGAUGGAAACAUUGAUGUUGAUGAACAUGAUGUUGUUGAUGUUGAGGGCAACAAUGAUAGGGAGGCACAUAAGGCCCCAUCCAGUUCUGAGCGGAGGGCUUCAAAAAGGCCAGCUCCUAGUUCCCCUAAAGGAAAGAAGAAGAAGACUUUUAGAGACUAGUGCAUGAAGCGGUUGGUCGAUGCAUAUGAGUUGAAAGCUCAAAGUAGUAAACAUUCAGCUACUUCAUAAGUUGUUGAUCACGUUAGAGAUGAGAUUGGAAGUAUGUUGGAGCAAGUCAUUAACGAUGGGGCUGAGGAGGGGAGUGAUGAACACUUCUAUGCCACACAGCUUCUUCAAAAAAAGGAAAACCGUGAUGUGUUCAUUACAUUGAAGACACCAAAUGGGAGGUUGAAUUGGCUGAGGAGAGCUUGGGAGAUAUGGAAGAAGCACUAGGGUGUUGCAUUAGUGUGCCAUUUCUCUUUCAUUUCUCUUAUGUUGUGUGAGACAUAAUUUCAAUUUUCUAAGUAUGAUGUGUGAGACUAUGAACCUUCUAUUAGUUGUGUUGUAACAAUAAAAAUUCAUCUGAUGACUUGGUUAGUGCUUUUUGACAGGCUUGCAUUUGUUUUGAUGAGUACCUCUAGUGCAAUUAGUGAAUGUGAAGGCAACAGUGAUUCUAUUCAUACCAUGGAUGUUGAUGAAUCUGAUGACACUGAUGAUGAUUACAUAGUGGCAAUGCUUGGUAUGGACUACAUGGCAUCAUCUGGUAUGCACAAGAAGAAGAUUACUACUACGAUAGCAAGGAUGACUGGAAUACAGUGGGUUGAGUUGCAACUACAAGAUCCAGUGGAGUGCUUUAACAUGUUCAGAAUGAGGAGGUCAGUUUUCUUAAGCCUUCAUGACACUUUGGUGCAAGAUUAUGGAUUGAGAUCAAGUAGACAAUUUUGUAGCAAGAAAGCACUAGGAAUGUUUCUAUGGGCUUGUGGUGCACCUCAAUCUUUUAGGCAAUGCAAGAAUAAUUUCCAUCACUCAUUAGAAACUGUGAGUAGAAAAUUUGAAGAGG